GAGCGGAGUUGAAAUUGAUCUUAUAAGUUUACUAUCCAAUGACACUCAUAACACAAUGAUUUUUGGAGUGGUCAUUAAUAUAUGACAAUUAUAUUGCAGAAAAUUGCCAAGAUGUGCUUCAUGUGUAUAUGGAAGCUAGUCGUGGGAUAUAAUUAGAAGUGAAACAUCUAUUUUCUACUAAUCUUCCAAAUUUCUUGAGUUAGAAAGGUUGUGUAGGUUUGAUGCAAAAGAUUUUUUAUGGAGGUGGAAAGAGAGG
rnacentral:lncRNA from 1 species